CAGGGACCAUGAAGCUCCUGCUCUGAGUAGAAAACACCUGAAUUUGUCAGGGCCUCAGGUCUGGCUGCCCUGGAACUCUGUGUAGACCAGGCUAACCUCUGCCUCCCGUGCUGGUGUUAAAGGUGGUGCUGAGUUUUGCAGCCUGGAUGGCAUAUCUCCUGGCAUCUCCUCCUUUCUUCUUCUCAGAGCUCUCUCUGCUCGGAAGUCCUGCCUAUACCUCCUGCUUAACUAUUGGUUGUUCGGCUUUUUAUUGCACCAGUUAUAACAAUACCCGUUCACCCAGUGUACAGAUAUCCCUCAACAGAUGUGUUCAAGACCCUCCUAUGGGCUCUGAAGCCUCUGACACAACAGUUAGACCCAUAGAGUGGCUUAAGAGACCCUUCUGCUUUGGGGACCCACACAGAUUCCUCAGUGCCUUCAACAACAUUUUCCACCUGUAGUUAUGAAUAACUAAAUUUUUUUGAUUGGGUCUUCUUUCU
rnacentral:lncRNA from 1 species